rnacentral:rRNA from 1 species
AACGAACGCUGGCGGCAGGCUUAACACAUGCAAGUCGAACGCCCCGCAAGGGGAGUGGCAGACGGGUGAGUAACGCGUGGGAACGUGCCCUUCGCUUCGGAAUAGCCCCGGGAAACUGGGAGUAAUACCGAAUACGCCGUAUUGGGAAAGAUUUAUCGGCGAAGGAUCGGCCCGCGUUAGAUUAGCUAGUUGGCGGUGUAAUGGACCACCAAGGCUACGAUCUAUAGCUGGUCUGAGAGGAUGAUCAGCCACACUGGGACUGAGACACGGCCCAGACUCCUACGGGAGGCAGCAGUAGGGAAUUUUCCACAAUGGGCGAAAGCUUGAUGGAGCAACGCCGCGUGCAGGAUGAAGGCCCUCGGGUCGUAAACUGCUUUUAUGUGAGAAGAAUAUGACGGUAACACAUGAAUAAGGGUCGGCUAACUACGUGCCAGCCGCCGCCGUAACAC